UCAUCUCCGGGGGUAGAGCACUGUUUCGGCAAGGGGGUCAUCCCGACUUACCAACCCGAUGCAAACUGCGAAUACCGGAGAAUGUUAUCACGGGAGACACACGGCGGGUGCUAACGUCCGUCGUGAAGAGGGAAACAACCCAGACCGCCAGCUAAGGUCCCAAAGUCAUGGUUAAGUGGGAAACGAUGUGGGAAGGCCCAGACAGCCAGGAUGUUGGCUUAGAAGCAGCCAUCAUUUAAAGAAAGCGUAAUAGCUCACUGGUCGAGUCGGCCUGCGCGGAAGAUGUAACGGGGCUAAACCAUGCACCGAAGCUGCGGCAGCGACNAUGCUGGAGGUAUCAGAAGUGCGAAUGCUGACAUAAGUAACGAUAAAGCGGGUGAAAAGCCCGCUCGCCGGAAGACCAAGGGUUCCUGUCCAACGUUAAUCGGGGCAGGGUGAGUCGACCCCUAAGGCGAGGCCGAAAGGCGUAGUCGAUGGGAAACAGGUUAAUAUUCCUGUACUUGGUGUUACUGCGAAGGGGGGACGGAGAAGGCUAUGUUGGCCGGGCGACGGUUGUCCCGGUUUAAGCGUGUAGGCUGGUUUUCCAGGCAAAUCCGGAAAAUCAAGGCUGAGGCGUGAUGACGAGGCACUACGGUGCUGAAGCAACAAAUGCCCUGCUUCCAGGAAAAGCCUCUAAGCAUCAGGUAACAUCAAAUCGUACCCCAAACCGACACAGGUGGUCAGGUAGAGAAUACCAAGGCGCUUGAGAGAACUCGGGUGAAGGAACUAGGCAAAAUGGUGCCGUAACUUCGGGAGAAGGCACGCUGAUAUGUAGGUGAGGUCCCUCGCGGAUGGAGCUGAAAUCAGUCGAAGAUACCAGCUGGCUGCAACUGUUUAUUAAAAACACAGCACUGUGCAAACACGAAAGUGGACGUAUACGGUGUGACGCCUGCCCGGUGCCGGAAGGUUAAUUGAUGGGGUUAGCGGUAACGCGAAGCUCUUGAUCGAAGCCCCGGUAAACGGCGGCCGUAACUAUAACGGUCCUAAGGUAGCGAAAUUCCUUGUCGGGUAAGUUCCGACCUGCACGAAUGGCGUAAUGAUGGCCAGGCUGUCUCCACCCGAGACUCAGUGAAAUUGAACUCGCUGUGAAGAUGCAGUGUACCCGCGGCAAGACGGAAAGACCCCGUGAACCUUUACUAUAGCUUGACACUGAACAUUGAGCCUUGAUGUGUAGGAUAGGUGGGAGGCUUUGAAGUGUGGACGCCAGUCUGCAUGGAGCCGACCUUGAAAUACCACCCUUUAAUGUUUGAUGUUCUAACGUUGACCCGUAAUCCGGGUUGCGGACAGUGUCUGGUGGGUAGUUUGACUGGGGCGGUCUCCUCCUAAAGAGUAACGGAGGAGCACGAAGGUUGGCUAAUCCUGGUCGGACAUCAGGAGGUUAGUGCAAUGGCAUAAGCCAGCUUGACUGCGAGCGUGACGGCGCGAGCAGGUGCGAAAGCAGGUCAUAGUGAUCCGGUGGUUCUGAAUGGAAGGGCCAUCGCUCAACGGAUAAAAGGUACUCCGGGGAUAACAGGCUGAUACCGCCCAAGAGUUCAUAUCGACGGCGGUGUUUGGCACCUCGAUGUCGGCUCAUCACAUCCUGGGGCUGAAGUAGGUCCCAAGGGUAUGGCUGUUCGCCAUUUAAAGUGGUACGCGAGCUGGGUUUAGAACGUCGUGAGACAGUUCGGUCCCUAUCUGCCGUGGGCGCUGGAGAACUGAGGGGGGCUGCUCCUAGUACGAGAGGACCGGAGUGGACGCAUCACUGGUGUUCGGGUUGUCAUGCCAAUGGCACUGCCCGGUAGCUAAAUGCGGAAGAGAUAAGUGCUGAAAGCAUCUAAGCACGAAACUUGCCCCGAGAUGAGUUCUCCCUGACUCCUUGAGAGUCCUGAAGGAACGUUGAAGACGACGACGUUGAUAGGCCGGGUGUGUAAGCGCAGCGAUGCGUUGAGCUAACCGGUACUAAUGAACCGUGAGGCUUAACCUU
rnacentral:rRNA from 1 species